GGGCUGCAGUAUUUUGACUGUACAAAGGUAGCAUAAUCAAUAGUCUCUUAAUUGGUGACUUGUAUGAAAGAUUGGAUGAAAUAUAUACUGUCUCUAAUUAAUUUAUAGAAAUUAAUUUUUUAGUAAAAAAGCUAAAAUAAUUUUAAAAGACGAGAAGACCCUAUAGAGUUUAAUAAUUUAUUUAAUUAUAUUUAUUAUAUAAUUUUUAAAAUUAAAAUUAAAUGAAUUAUUUUGUUGGGGUGAUAGAAAAAUUAAAUUAACUUUUUUUAAUUGUUAACAUUAAUUUAUGAAUAAAUGAUCCAUUAAUAAUGAUUAAAAGAAAAAAUUACCUUAGGGAUAACAGCGUAAUUUUUUUUUUUAGUUCAAAUAGGAAAAAAAGUUUGCGACCUCGAUGUUGGAUUAA
rnacentral:rRNA from 1 species